ensembl:rRNA 5S_rRNA 5S ribosomal RNA
GUCUACGGGCAUACCACCCUGAACGCGCCCGAUCUCAUCUGAUCUCGGAAGGAAGUCAGAUGACCCUGAGUGCCUGAGCUCUGGCCACCAUGUGAGAGGCCCAGAUGAAACUCCAGGGUCCUGCCCUCA